UAUGUAUGGGUAUUCAAUCAAUGAAAAAGAAGGAGAUGCAAGUUCUCCAAGCUUUCUCUCUUAUUUCUCCUACUUGGCUAGAAGCAAAAAAAUCAUCAAGCUUAUGGAGUUAUAAGAUGGAAACAACACAAAUUCUUAAAUUAUUGUUGGAGGUUUCAAGAAGAGCGCCUUAUUGUGCAUGGACUAUGAUGGCUGUCCAAUCAAUGGGACUUUCUCAAGAAGAGAGAAGACUGAGGGAUAAAGAAGUCAGUUUCUGAGAAUGUACCUAGGCAAAUCUUCCCCAAACUCUCCCUUUUUCCCAGUGGCAGACCAAACCACCCUGCCUUAACUUGGAGUAUGAGGAGUCUUGUGAAAUGACAAGAGGAUUUGUGCAACCUGUGACGUUUUGUACCCAAUGAUCCUUUUCUCCAGUGCCCUAUGGGAGGGAAUAAAGUGAAUACUGAUACCUGGAGGGAAGGGGAAUCAGCUGAAUACAAAGUUCUUUGGAAAGGUGUGAAUGUUGUGCAUUAAGAGGAUAAGAUGCCAGG